UACGGAGGGUGCAAGCGUUACCCGGAAUCACUGGGCGUAAAGGGCGUGUAGGCGGGAUGUUAAGUCUGGUUUUAAAGACUGCGGCUCAACCGCAGGGAUGGACUGGAUACUGGCAUUCUUGACCUCUGGAGAGGAAACCGGAAUUCCUGGUGUAGCGGUGGAAUGCGUAGAUACCAGGAGGAACACCAAUGGCGAAGGCAGGUUUCUGGACAGAAGGUGACGCUGAGGCGCGAAAGUGUGGGGAGCGAACCGG
rnacentral:misc_RNA from 1 species